rnacentral:lncRNA from 1 species
UCACUAGUUCAGCAGCAGCGAGUGCAUAAUCCUAUAGAAUCAAGCCUUCACUAGUUCAGCAGCAGCGAGUGCAUAAUCCUAUAGAAUCAAACCUUCACUAGUUCAGCCGCAGUGAGUGCAUAAUCCUAUAGCGCUCCUGCAAUCUAUACUUUCACAUCUGCCCAUCUGGCAAAGGUGCUCUGAACGCAUGCUUACCCCCCCUCCCCCAACCACCACCACACACACAGCAAGACAGCCAUCUCCUCUGGGAUGCUAAAUUCUCAGAGUUCAGAGAGUUUCUACAAGUCAAAGCCUUCUAUAACUAUCAAGGUUUCGGUUUCUCAAGACCAAGUCCAAGUCUCAAAAUCUCCAUGAGCCAGAUCUCAGAGUUGAAGAUGACAAGAGUGUCUUUAAGAUUCUUUUUAUGUUGUUUAACUAUAUCAAAAGUGCCUAUCACAUGAAAUAACAUGAACUACGAAAUCCAAUAACUUUGUAUUAAGAAAUUUAUUGAAUAUGUACAAAUAUUAAGUUCACAAACACCCCCCUUACCCCCCCCCCCCCCCCCCCAAACACCACCAAGUCACCACGCACACAGAAAGACAGCCAUCUCCUCUGGGAUGCUAAAUUCUCAGAGUUCAGAGAGUUUCUACAGGUCAAAGCCUUCUAUAACUAUCAAGGUUUCGGUUUCUCAAGACCAAGUCCAAGUCUCAAAAUCUCCAUGAGCCAGAUCUCAGAGUUGAAGAUGAACAAGAGUGUCUUUAAGAUUCUUUUGAUGUUGUUUAACUAUAUCAAAAGUGCCUAUCACAUGAAAUAACAUGAACUACGAGGCUAUUUAAAAGGAUUCACAGUGAUAGUCCUUUACAACUCCUUUUUCCCAGUGCUUCUAUUCAUAUUUCCCCACAACCACAGCAUCUGAAUAGUUGGUUACUCUUUAAUCUGCCAACACAAUGCCCCACAACCAAAUUGGCUCUGCAUCACAAAGGUCACGAUCUUGAUACUUUAAGCUUGUAUCAACGAGUAGACAUGAUAGUAGAAGCCUAAAAGUCCAUAUAGACAUUACCUUGAACUGCUUCACAUCA